rnacentral:rRNA from 1 species
UACGGAGGGGCUAGCGUUGUUCGGAAUUACUGGGCGUAAAGCGCACGUAGGCGGCUUUGUAAGUUAGAGGUGAAAGCCCGGGGCUCAACUCCGGAAUUGCCUUUAAGACUGCAUCGCUAGAAUUGUGGAGAGGUAAGUGGAAUUCCGAGUGUAGAGGUGAAAUUCGUAGAUAUUCGGAAGAACACCAGUGGCGAAGGCGACUUACUGGACACAUAUUGACGCUGAGGUGCGAAAGCGUGGGGAGCAAACAGGG